CAUGGUUAGGAGCAACGUGGUUCAUCCAGCAUUAUACCAGACUCAACAAGCCUUGCUGAAAACUCAACUAUUGAGGAGUGCAUGGAGGGUUCUGAGCUGAUUCUGCACUGUGUAUGCUUGGAUUCCCUAAGGAUAACACUUUGCCUAACCCAAGGGAUCCUCUGUAGAACCACACGUUGGGCAACCCAGCCAUCCUGCCUCUGGUAACAGGAGUCAAGAAGGAUGCUGCUGGGUUCAUGUACACCGAGGCCGGUCUUUCCUUUCUCCAUCAGCAACGAAGCGAUGCACUCACAGUGAACUCUGCUUUGCUUCCUCAUGUACAGCUCUAAGAUAAAAUUAGCUCUGAGGACAGUGACCUCUGAGAGCAGCUGGCCAGCCCAGCUCCUUGCUGGGGAACAUCUCUAACAAGCUGCAGUGUGCACUUCAGCUGCGACGCUUCCUGCCGCAGUAGUGGCUCGAUAAGG
rnacentral:lncRNA from 1 species